AGCUGGGCCGAGUGCAAUAGUGUUUACAACUAAUUGAUCACAGCCAGCUACAGGUUCCUUUCCUCCUUCUCCACUCCCACUGCUUCACUUGACUAGCCAAAA
ensembl:misc_RNA Y_RNA Y RNA